CACAGCCAGUUUCUACAAAUAACGAUCACUGAAGCACAACUCAAUUCUGUUCACCUGAAAACAACAAGAUGCCAUUUGUGAGAAGGUGCCAAAUCGACAUUCAUUCUAGGCAGCAUCAAGGGCAGAAGCAGCCAGACAGAAACCAACAGAUACCAAGCGUUUCAGAAGUGUUUACUUUGUGCCAGGCCUGUGUGAAGUGCUCCAGAUGGACAUACAGGCCGCCAAGCUAGUUCCUUCCCUUUUGUUAUAGUUAUUUAGUCACAUCAGACUCUUCAUGACCCAUUUACGGUUUUCUUGACCCAACACUCUAUCCAAUGUGCUACCUAGCUGCCCCCAGUCCAACCUGUGCCUGAAUUAAAAUCUCCUCUACAGCUCACUCAAUAACUCAUUAUCUAGACUGGGCUCUAAAGACUCAAAAGAGGAGGCACCCACUAUCUGCUAAGGCAAUACUUUGACAUUUCCUUUUUCAGCUCAUUUUACAGAUGAGAAAACUGAGGCAAACAGGGCUAAGUGAGCUGCCCAGGGCCACACAGCUAGGAAGUGCCUGAGGCCAGAUUUGAACUCAUGAAAAUCAGCCUUCCUGACUCCAGGCCAGCUCUCUAUCCACUUUGCCACCUAGCUGCCCUUCAAGGGGCUUACUAUAUCCAAAUCACUUCUUCUGACCACCAUCUGACCACUUGCCCUGUGUGAGCUCUCCAUAAAACAGUCUUUUCAGCAAGCAUACAUGUUACAUUCGGAAGAAGCUAUACAAGGACACUCUCAAGGUCUCUCUUAAGAAGUUCGGAAUUGAUUGUGCUACAUGUAAAUGCUGGCGCAGGACUGCUCAGCAUGGCAUGCCCACAUCAGAGAAGGAGUAUUGAAUUGAAGUGGCUCAAAAGAAACAUGAGAUGCACAGAUUUAGAGAAUCCGCCCCAAAGGUUCACAUGGAAUAUUUUUGCCUCCCCUGUGGUAGAACAUUCUGAGCUCAGAUUGGUCUGAUCAGCCACGAUUGGAUGCAUCGUAACUGGAGUCUAGCAUAGUGAUGUCAUUUUGGUCCUCUUCAAGAAGGAAGGACAACAAGCAACCACAUCCAAGUAGGGGAAGAUAAAACACAAAGGAGACUCCUUAGGAUCCAACCUCCUUCCACAGAAUCUCUGAGCUGGAAGGGUCCUCACAUGCCAGCUGCUCCAACCUGUCGUUAUUGUUGUUCAGUCAUUUUUCAGUCACAUCCAACUCUUCGUGACCCCAUUUGUUUUUUCGUUUGUUUGCUUGGUUUUGUUUGUUUUUUUGGCAAAGAUACUGGAGUGGCUUGCCAUUUCCUUUUCCAGCCCAGAUGAGGAAACCGAGGCAAACAGGAUGAAGUGACUUACCCAGGGUCGUACGUUAGUAAAUGUCUGGUCUUCCCGACUCCAGGCCCAAUGCUCUAUCCACUGCACCACCUAGCUGCCCCCAGUUCAACCUGUACCUGAAUUAAAAUCCACUCUACAACUAAUGCAACAACUCAUUGUCCAGACUAUGCUCUAAGGAUUCAAAAAAGGAGGAACUCCUAUCUGCUAAGCUAGUAUACUUCACUUUUGGACAGCUUUGUUAGAAAGUAUUUCUAGGUAUUAAAUCUAAAUCUCUCUCUCCAAUUCUUACCCAUCACUUUCAAUUCCACUCAGUGGGGACAAACAGAACACAUCUCAUGACCCAUUUCCUCAUGAUAGCCUUUAUAGUGUGGAAAUCCAGAUUCAAAUAACAUCCCAGAUUAAGUAGGGACCCUGGCGUUGAAACUCCUAGUAUCCUUUCAUCUCAUCACAACUUAGCCUGAGAGUAUACUCCUCUCAUUCUCUCAUGAGCAAAGUCAUGCACUUUUCUCCCAUUUGCAUGUUUCCCAUCCUACAUUGGCUGGUAGAAAAUAGAAUGAUGCCAUUCUAAAUAUUCUCACCAUAAUUAUCUUGUCAUUCAUAUCACACUUGACAGUUUGCAACAUGUUUUAUGGAAUCUGGAAUCUAGAAUCUCAUUUGAUCCUUACCACUGCUUAUGUGAGGUAUAUAUAACAGGAGAGAUUAAGUGAUUUCCUUCUAUUUACAGAUAGAGGAUCUUUUAACUUGCCAAACGUCAAAUGCCUAGUAUGUGAUAGGGCUAGAACUUGAACCCAAUUCUUCUGCCCCCAUAACCAGAGCUGUCUCCUAUAUCACAGCAGCCUUGAUUGAAUUUGUCAACAAAGAGGUAAAUGCUUGGCAAAGGUAUGUUUACUACUGUCAUCAAAGAUUUCCUAGCAUGUCAAAACAGAAGAAUAUCCUCCUCAUUACAUGAAGACUGAAAUGAGUCUGUUUGUGACAUGAGAUGUAUUCAUUCUCAUGGCUAUGGUGGGAAGGAAGGACACUGGACAAUGCAAACUUUCUUCAGAGGAAGCUAUACUUAUACAGAAGUUUGGUUGACAAUCCGUACUGGAAAACGAAAUGGAUAAAAACACAUGCCACCCAGAUUGUGACAUGCAGCUAGACAGGCAGUCAGUGAAUUAGUCUAUUAACAUGUGUAUCUUGGGGAGGAAAAAAAUUGUCAGUAGAUAAAGAGCUAGCCCGGAAAGAUCAGAUUCGACCAAAAUUGAGAAACUGUCCAGGGUUUUGAAUGACCCUAAACUAUUUCCUACUGCAAAAGCCUGUGUUUUAUUGAUAUUAUUAUAAAUUUAAUAACUGUAAACAAAAAUAUAAAUAUCUAGAGAAGAGUUUUAUAUUGUAUAUGAAACUUUGAAAUUCUCACAUAAAUAGUUUUAAUGGUACAUAUUAACUUAGAACAAGAUAGUAACAAAAUUAUCUUUUUUGUCUCUGUGCCGACUUUGGAACACUUUUUUUUCUUUUCCUUUCUGCUGUUUUUAUUGUAAUUAUUUACAUAGUUUUCAUCAUUAUAUAAAUUCAUAAGUUUAAGACUAGAAGGGACCUCAGAAGUAAUACCUAGGUCCGCAAACCUCACCUUACAGAUGAGGACUCUAAAGUCUAUAAGGUUAAGUGAUAUCAUGUAGCCAGAAUGAGAAAUUACAGACAGAAAGCCUCAUGGUACAGCAGUACUUUCAAGAUACCAAAAAAAACAGGUGUGUGUGGCAUCUUCAUCUUCACCAAUCAAGUUCGUGACUUAGAGUCAAGAUGAUCUAGGUGUGAUUCUUGCCACACAUACUGUGUGCCCCUAAACAAAUCACUCUCUCAGUCUCAGUAUGUUCAUCUGUAGAAUGGGGAUAAUAAUACAAAACAUAUAGUAUCUACCUUAAAUGGUUGUUUUGAGGUUCAAAUGAGAUGAUCAAUGUAAAGUGGUUUCUUAACCUUAAAACACGAUAUAGAUGAUUUUUUUUGUUCUCUUACUAUUUUUAAAAUUUUUGUCUUUUUUAAAAACACAUAGUAUUUUUUCUUUUACCCAAUUAUGUAUUAAGAAAAGUUUUUAGCAUUCAUUUUUACAAGAUUUUGAGUUCCAAAUUUUUCUCCUUCCUCCCCUCCCUCCUGAAAAUGGUAGGCAGUUUGAUAUAGUUUAUACAUUUGUCACAGUUGUGGAAGAAGAAACAGAUCAAGGGGCAGAUAGGUGGCACAGUGGAUAGAACUCAGGAGGACCUGAGUUCAAAUCCAGCCUAAGACACUUGACACACUAGUUGUGUGACCCUGGGCAAGUCACUUAACCCUAACUGCCCCACCAAAAAAAAAGAAAAAGAAAUAGAUCAAAAGGAAAUAAAACCAUGAGAAAGAAUAAAGUAAGUGAAAAU
ensembl:lncRNA